GGGUUCAGAACGUCGUGAGACAGUUCGGUUUAUAUCCGGCAUGAUCGUUAGGAAUUUUGAGGAGAUCUACCUCUAGUACGAGAGGACCGAGGCGGACGAACCUCUAGUGUAUCGGUUGUGGCCACCUGCUGCAUUGCCGAGUAGCUAUGUUCGGAAGGGAUAAGCGCUGAAAGCAUAUUAAGCGCGAAGCCCACUCCAAGAUAAGAAUUCCCUAUGACCCUCCAGAAAGAAGAUCUGGUUGAUAGGCGCAAGGUGGAAGCAUGGUAACAUGUGGAGCCGAAGCGUACUAAUCUGGGCAUUGCCUUUUUAUG
rnacentral:rRNA from 1 species